rnacentral:lncRNA from 1 species
GCCACGCGCUCGCAGGUCCCAAGGCCAGGCUGGGCGGGACUGUUAAGGGAGCUCGAAGUCGGGGGCCGGGGGCUUCCCGUCCCGGCGCUUCCCAUGCAAACCCCUGAAGGAAGCGGCAGGCGCAGCCGCGGGCUCCGCAGCCCAGGCCCACUUCCUGUCACUCCAGGAAAACCUCGGAGCGGCGGACGCGGCUCGGCCCGGCUUCCAGCCCAGAGCCCAAGCGCCUUAGCCCCGUCCCAGCGCUUUCUGAAAGACGGGCCACCUCGCGCGGAGCCGCGACAAGGACUCCAGGGUCCGCAGUGAAGCUGGUCAAAUCUGCCCCGCACACGGUCAACGCUCGGUCUGUGUCCCGGAAGCUUUCGGACCGGACCUGUCUAAAUAGCGACUUUCAGUCGUGGGUUUUUUGUUCUUGUGGGUUUGUUUUGUUUUUUGUUGUUGUUGUUGCUCUACAAAAGAUUUGUCCCGCAGUGGACGGGAGCCUCCUCACGGCCGCCCGCCCGUCUCCGCAGUUCUCCUCAGUGACCGGAGGCUGCCGCGCGCCCCGUUCUCCAGAGAAACAAUCCCCGGAGAGAAAGACGGCCAGUGUGAAAUAUCAGCUGUUUCACAAAUUCUGAGAGAGCUGUAUUAUUGUCAUUUCACUGGAAUGAAUUCACCUACUGAUUAUUGAUUUAGAACUUCAUGCAAGAGUGGGGACCAGACCCAAGAUCACCACGUAAAACUGAGAUUAAGCCUCUAGAGUCAUACAGCUAAGAGGACUGGGCCUACCUAGCCAGGAUGCGAACGUCACAGAAUGAAAAAUGCCUGGGAAAAUGUGGCCAGGAGAAAUAGUACUUUUCACU